rnacentral:tRNA from 1 species
GCCGGAGUGGCGGAAUUGGCAGACGCCCAGGACUUAAAAUCCUGUGGGAUUAACUUCCCGUACCGGUUCGAUCCCGGUUUCCGGCACCA